rnacentral:rRNA from 1 species
UCCUACGGGAGGCAGCAGUGGGGAAUCUUCCGCAAUGGACGAAAGUCUGACGGAGCAACGCCGCGUGUAUGAUGAAGGUCUUCGGAUUGUAAAGUACUGUCUAUGGGGAAGAAUGAGUGGUUUGAGAAUAUUGAGUCACAAUGACGGUACCCAAGGAGGAAGCCCCGGCUAACUACGUGCCAGCAGCCGCGGUAAUACGUAGGGGGCAAGCGUUGUCCGGAAUUAUUGGGCGUAAAGGGCGCGUAGGCGGGUAUUUAAGUCUGGUGUGAAAGAUCAGGGCUCAACCCUGAGAGUGCAUCGGAAACUGGGUAUCUUGAGGACAGGAGAGGAAAGUGGAAUUCCACGUGUAGCGGUGAAAUGCGUAGAUAUGUGGAGGAACACCAGUGGCGAAGGCGACUUUCUGGACUGUAACUGACGCUGAGGCGCG